rnacentral:tRNA from 1 species
GGGGGCGUAGCUCAGCUGGGAGAGCGCUUGAAUGGCAUUCAAGAGGUCAGGGGUUCGAUUCCCCUCGUCUCCACCA